AAGUCUCUAGCAGAUUUGAUGAUGCCAGCUACAAUUACAAUGCUUAAAUCGCAGCCACUAGCAGUGGUGUGCAAAUGAAUUAUGCAAAUUGAAAAUUGUUUUACUGCGACAAGCAGACGACGACGACUGCAGCAAGACAGAUGUACAAAAUAAAUUAAUCUUAAUAGUGAGAAGUCAGGACGGCAGCUCCAUCGUGCGGGCGCUAAGAGUGAUUGCGUACGAAAAUACUCAUUCGCCACCUAUUGGAAUUUUCCGGUUUUUGUUCAUUCUGAAAUGUCGGAAUUUUGCUCUUUGUGGUUAUGAGAACACUAUAGCCAAUCGAUUUACAUGAAAUAUAGCAGAUUUCCGUAAAUUGUACAUAAUUCUUACAAUUUAUAUCGCCACAAAAACCGAAGUAAAUAAAGCACAACACAAAGAAAAAACUAAAAUCGCGACUAGCUCGAACGUAAAUUGAGAAUGAAUGCAGCUUUUGCUUGAGUGAAAAUGACAACCGCAGUAUUGCCGCAUCAUAUUGUUUACGUUCUUGUAACCGCUUCUCUGAACGAAGAUUAAAAGGACAUGCAACCAACACAUUUUGCGCCUUCUUGGGUACAAAAGGUUCCUCAUGCAGUACUGUUGUUGGCCGCGGUUCGAAUUU